AUUGAACGCUGGCGGCAUGCCUUACACAUGCAAGUCGAACGGUAACGCGGGGCAACCUGGCGACGAGUGGCGAACGGGUGAGUAAUGUAUCGGAACGUGCCCAGUUGUGGGGGAUAACUGCUCGAAAGAGCAGCUAAUACCGCAUACGACCUGAGGGUGAAAGCGGGGGAUCGCAAGACCUCGCGCAAUUGGAGCGGCCGAUAUCAGAUUAGGUAGUUGGUGGGGUAAAGGCCCACCAAGCCAACGAUCUGUAGCUGGUCUGAGAGGACGACCAGCCACACUGGGACUGAGACACGGCCCAGACUCCUACGGGAGGCAGCAGUGGGGAAUUUUGGACAAUGGGCGCAAGCCUGAUCCAGCCAUGCCGCGUGGGUGAUGAAGGCCCUAGGGUUGUAAACUGCUUUUGUACAGAACGAAAAGGCUCUGGUUAAUACCUAGGGCUCAUGACGGUACUGUAAGAAUAAGCACCGGCUAACUACGUGCCAGCAGCCGCGGUAAGAC
rnacentral:rRNA from 1 species